CUCUCGGAAGCCUAUGCAACCCUAACGGGGUCCGCGACUAUAAAUACUGGAUGCAAGUAGCUGUAAGCUGCAACAUAAUCGAAUUGCGGGGAAAUCUUAAAGCCUACCGGUACCAACACUCUCGGGAAACCCUGAGUGGGCCUAUGCUAAUCACAUAGGGGGUCAAAAUCUGGUGGGAUGCUACAAUAGAUAAUCCGCAGCGAAGCCCCUAACGGUGAAAGCCUACGGGGAACGUCCACAGACUAAGUGGUUAUGGGUAGAGGAAUCUGCUUAAGAUAUAGUCGGUCUCCCCUGGAAACCCGGGAGGUUUUAGCGUUCCGUAGGUGAACCUGCGGAAGGAUCAUUACAGAGUUCAUGCCCUUCGGGGUAGAUCUCCCACCCUUGUAUAUUAUAAAUAUCUGUUGCUUUGGCGGACCGCAAGCCUGCUUGCCUGGGGAAACCUAGUGUGUCCGCCAGAGGAUCACCAAACUCUGAAUUUUUGUCGUCUGAGUACUAUAAAAUAGUUAAAACUUUCAACAACGGAUCUCUUGGUUCUGGCAUCGAUGAAGAACGCAGCGAAAUGCGAUAAGUAAUGUGAAUUGCAGAAUUCAGUGAAUCAUCGAAUCUUUGAACGCACAUUGCGCCCCUUGGUAUUCCGGGGGGCAUGCCUGUUCGAGCGUCAUUAUAACCAAUCCAGUUUACUGGGUCUUGGGCCUCGCGGUUCCGCGGGCCUUAAAACUAGUGGCGGUGCUCUUAGGCUCUACGCGUAGUAACUUUCUCGCUAUAGAGUCCUGAGGGAUGCUUGCCAACAACCUCAAAUUUUCUAGG
rnacentral:sRNA from 1 species